rnacentral:rRNA from 1 species
CGGUAACAGGGGGAGCUUGCUCCCCGCUGACGAGCGGCGGACGGGUGAGUAAUGCAUAGGAACUGCCCAGUAGUGGGGGAUAGCCCGGGGAAACCCGGAUUAAUACCGCAUACGCCCUUCGGGGGAAAGCAGGGGAUCUUCGGACCUUGCGCUAUUGGAUGUGCCUAUGUCGGAUUAGCUAGUUGGUGGGGUAAGAGCCUACCAAGGCGACGAUCCGUAGCUGGUCUGAGAGGAUGAUCAGCCACAUCGGGACUGAGACACGGCCCGAACUCCUACGGGAGGCAGCAGUGGGGAAUAUUGGACAAUGGGGGCAACCCUGAUCCAGCCAUGCCGCGUGUGUGAAGAAGGCUUUCGGGUUGUAAAGCACUUUCAGUGAGGAGGAAAACCUUAAGUUUAAUACGCUUGAGGCUUGACGUUACUCACAGAAGAAGCACCGGCUAACUCCGUGCCAGCAGCCGCGGUAAUACGGAGGGUGCAAGCGUUAAUCGGAAUUACUGGGGCGUAAAGCGCGCGUAGGUGGUUUGAUAAGCGAGAUGUGAAAGCCCCGGGCUCAACCUGGGAACGGCAUUUCGAACUGUCAGGCUAGAGUAUGGUAGA